rnacentral:rRNA from 1 species
UCCCUCCCGACUGUUUACCAAAAACACAGCACUUUGCCAACUCGUAAGAGGAAGUAUAAGGUGUGACGCCUGCCCGGUGCUCGAAGGUUAAGAGGAUGCGUCAGUCGCAAGAUGAAGCGUUGAAUUGAAGCCCGAGUAAACGGCGGCCGUAACUAUAACGGUCCUAAGGUAGCGAAAUUCCUUGUCGGUUAAAUACCGACCUGCAUGAAUGGCGUAACGAGAUGGGAGCUGUCUCAACCAGAGAUUCAGUGAAAUUGUAGUGGAGGUGAAAAUUCCUCCUACCCGCGGCAAGACGGAGAGACCCCGUGGACCUUUACUACAACUUAGCACUGCUAAUGGGAAUAUCAUGCGCAGGAUAGGUGGGAGGCUUUGAAGUAA